AGGGUUCGAUUCUGGCUCAGGACGAACGCUGGCGGCGUGCCUAACACAUGCAAGUCGAGCGGAGACAUGUUGUGGAAGUUUUCGGAUGGAAGCGAUAUGUUUUAGCGGCGGACGGGUGAGUAACGCGUGAGCAACCUUUCCUUCACAGGGGAAUAACGUACCGAAAGGUACACUAAUACCGCAUAAGGCCACAGCACCGCAUGGUGCAGGGGUUAAAGGAGGAAUCUGGUGAAGGGUGGGCUCGCGUCCGAUUAGCUAGUUGGUGAGGUGACGGCCCACCAAGGCGACGAUCGGUAGCCGACCUGAGAGGGUGAUCGGCCACAUUGGAACUGAGAUACGGUCCAA
rnacentral:rRNA from 1 species